rnacentral:tRNA from 1 species
UCUUUUUGUUUUUGUUUUAACAAGGAUUUUGAAAGUCUUUUUUGGAAAACUUUUCCGCAAAGUG